UUAUUUUUUUUUAUAUAUGUUAGUAUUGCAUACUAUGUUAGGAUCAUUUUAACUUUUUAAACUAUAAAAAUAAAGUGUCUAAAGUCUAGUUUGUUUUUUUGUUACAAAAUUAAUUUUACUAUACUUAGGGUUGAAACAUCGAACUUUAUUAUAUUUGUUUUUUUUGUAUAUAUUAGAAAAUUAUAUGUUUUUGUUUUUUUUUUUGGAUUGUAAUAAUUUGAAGUUUUUUUGUUUCAAGUUUUAUAACUUUAUCCUCUUUUUUUUUAUUUUUUUUUUUUAAUUAUAAAUCUUUAUAAUUUUUAUUAUCUAGCAAUUAGUAAAUUUAUAAAUUUAGUUUUUUAUUUUAAUAUAAAUUGAUUACUAAUUAUCUGAUCAAAUGUUUAUUAAAGACUUAUGAUUUAUAUUAAAUCUCUCUUCUGCCCUAUGAAUUUUUAAAUGGCAGUCUUAGCGUGAGGACAUUAAGGUAGCGAAAUAAUUUGUGCUUUUAAUGGGUUCCUGUAUGAAUGAAGGUUUGGUUGGUGAUAUUCUUUUUUUUUAUUGAACUUAAUAUACAUCUAAGAAAAGAUGUUUAUAAUAAUACAAAGAUAAGUCUUCGGAAAUUUUUUUUUUAUGUUUUUUUUUUUUUCAUAAAAAUUUGUCUAGGGAAGAUUAUUAUAUAAUUUUUUUUUCCUAUUUUUAUAUUAAGAAAUUACUUCGGAGUUAACAGAAAAUCAUACUUUAUAUAGUUCUUAUAUUUUAGUAAGUUUUACAUCGAUGUUGUAUCUCCAUUUGCUUGGGAAGAAUAAGAUCAAGUAAUUUAGACUGUUCUUCUAUAAAUAAAUGGGACGUGAUAUUAGUUUAAUUCAUCGUGAGAUAGAAUUGUUUAUCUUGAUUAUUAUUUUUAUUUAUUUAGAAUAGUACGAAAGGAACUUCGUUAAAGUUUUAAAUUUUUUUAUAUU
rnacentral:rRNA from 1 species